CCUGUUGAUCACAACUCUAGUCUGACACUGUGAAGAAGGCCUUCAGAGGUGGGAGGCCCCCACAGUUGUGCAACUCAGACCAGUUGCCAGUGAAAUACUACUCCUAAUUUCUACCACUUACCCAGUGAGGUUUGUGAGUGAGUGAGUCCCAAAGGGCUCUCACUUCUGAUGCCAAGUGCCUGGCACGACCAGCUCCAGUGUCAGGUAGGUAGCUUGACUGGGACAGUACCCCUGUCAAACCAUAACACAGGUGUCCUACAAGCUAAGGGAGGACAGAAACCUCCCGCAGAACAGAACAGCAAGGUUUGAUUUUGAUUUUCAGUACAAAUAUUGUCCAUGAGAGCAGAGACACAAUCCUUCUGACCUUUUGGGUUUUAAGUAGGCAUCCAGGAAACAGUGAAUGAAGAACUCAAGGCAUGAAUCUCCACAUAAGCAACUUUGGCAUCUAGGACAUUCUGCUCUGUCCCCCCAACAACCUGGGAAAUUCAGGUUGUUCCUGCAAGGAACAAGUGGUCACUCUGGGGAUGAGGCUGUCUGGGCAUCCCCAUCAUGUCUCUCCCCCUCAGUGCCCCUGAGAAGAGGGCCCGAAGAGGUGUCACAGG
rnacentral:ncRNA from 1 species